GUUUGUGAGGGUGAUCCGGCUGGGACAUCUGUGACCUUAUUGAUCACCACAGUUGAUUUUGCUGAUAUCACUGUCUUGCUGUGUUUCAUCUGUUCUUUCUUCACCAAUGCACGGUAGCGCCACUCCCACAAAGAAGCCGUGUGCUGGAAUAGAGGAGAAUGGCCUUCCCCAGCUCUUCCACCAAAGUUAAAGAGUGAGUACUCACCCACUAGAACACACCAAACAAGCCACCAAGAUCCGUUUCAGUAUAUAUAUUUUCUUCAUUAAUGUCCCCAAAUUGUGAGUUCCUAUAUAAGGACAAAAUGUAAUUGUUA
ensembl:misc_RNA 7SK 7SK RNA